GUUGCUAAUAUCUAAUUUAGAUUAUGGUCUUUUCAGAGAGAGGAGGUGUAUGGACUGAUUCAGAUUUCUUCUGAAGGCAAGCAGUGACAAGGAAGUCAGAAGUUAAGGUAGUGAUAUUCCCAGAUAUUCCUCAAACCAGGGUACAGAGUCUCCUACUGGUGGGAUCAUGGAUUUAUACCUAUCUGAUGGUUUUGGAUGUGACCAGCAGCUGCAAAUCUCAAGAAGAUAUAUGGUGCAUCUUUUGCAAAGAUCAGCAAACCCCUGGGGAAAACCCCUUUGAAGAGAGGAUGGCUACAGGAGGACUAAAAGAAGGCUUGAGGAGAGCUUCAAAGGAGCUUUUCUUUUCCACUGUAACAGUACUUCUGAAGUAAUUAAGUUAUGUACUAGCAGAAAAAUAGGCAUAGGCUGUGAAAAUUGCUUAUUGUCCUGUUUGUAUCUGCCUUUUUUCUAUCUUUGGCACCUUUCUUAUACCUUUUCUUUAUCGAAUAUGUUUAUUUCUUUUUUCCUGAGGUUGCAAACGCUGUGUCACAGACUGGUCUCUUUAUAGUUGUAUGCUGCAAAUUUAAUAUGAUUUGAAUGAUACUCUAGAGGUCAGUUCAAACACAUUUGAGAUAAAAGCUGUCAAAAGUUGUUUUCUUGUCUUCCUAAAAUUCAACCUUCUGGAAUAUUGAUUUGAAUACAAUUAUUCUUGAGUACAUUUGUCACAGAAGAAUUUGCUUUUCUUUUUCUUAACUAGUACCUCCUGGUAAAUGGUGCAUGUGUAACUGAUCAGUCACGAUUUUCCA